CUGACGGUAGUCGUAUGCUCGUCUCCGAGACUAAGCCAUGCAAGUCCAAGUACACGUCCUUGAACGACGGAAACUGCGAACGGCUCAUUAAAUCAGUUGCGAUCUACUCGGCGUUCCGCGCCGCCGGAUAACCGUAGUAAUUCUAGGGCUAAUACGUGCGAAGCGCCCGAAGCCGCGAGGCGACGGGCGUUCUCGCCGGAUGUAGGAACCGACCCGGGGACCGCCGGGGCAACCCGGCGCCCCCGAGACGGGGCGAACCACGGUGAAAUGACGGAUCGUCGGCCCCGCGCCGGCGACUCGCCGAAUGAGUUUCUGACCUAUCAACUCGAGACGGCGGGGUAGAGGCCCGCCGCGGUAACGACGGGUAACGGGGAAUCAGGGUUCGAUUCCGGAGAGGGAGCCCGAGAAACGGCUACCACUUCCAAGGAAGGCAGCAGGCGCGCAACUUACCCUAAUCUCGAUUCGAGGAGGUAGUGACAAGAAAUACCGAUGCGGG
rnacentral:rRNA from 1 species